rnacentral:lncRNA from 1 species
ACCUAAUCUUGUUGGGUUUAAGGGGCACCACUUUGGGCACCCAUUGGGAUUGGAUCCAACCCAUUUGAAAGUCCAAGCCUCAAGCCUUCCUCUUUUAUGCAUUUGACUUGGUACUGAACUUUUGGAAAAUAUCUUAUGGGGUGCACGCCAUCUCUAGAUGAGAUCUAGAGGGGCACACGCCCCCUCUUCUUCUGACAGGUUCCAUGGGCACAAGCCACAUGGAAUGCAUGUGGAGAUUAAGAGAGGCACACGCCCCUCUCUAAACCCCUCUCCAAAUUCAGCAUGAGG